rnacentral:rRNA from 1 species
GACGGGGGCCCGCACAAGCGGAGGAACAUGUGGUUUAAUUCGAUGAUACGCGAGGAACCUUACCCGGGCUUGAAAUGUGACCGACGACCCCGAGAGACCGGGGUUUCCUUCGGGCGGUCAUGUAGGUGCUGCAUGGUUGUCGUCAGCUCGUGCCGUGAGGUGUCGGCUUAAGUGCCAUAACGAGCGCAACCCCUUCCGCCGGUUACCAUCGGGUCAUGCCGGGGACUCCGGCGGCACUGCCGCCGCAAGGCGCGAGGAAGGCGGGGAUGACGUCAAAUCAGCACGGCCCUUACGUCCGGGGCCACACACGUGUUACAAUGGGGGGCACAGCGAGCUGGGGGAUGGCGACAUUCCCCGAAUCACGAAAUCCCCUCCCAGUUCGGACCGGAGUCUGCAACCCGACUCCGCGAAGCCGGAUUCGCUAGUAAUCGCGCAUCAGCCAUGGCGCGGUGAAUACGUUCCCGGGCCUUGUACACACCGCCCGUCAAGCCAUGAAAGCCUGGGGCGCCUGAAGUCCGUUGCGGCGACGCGCGGCCGAGGGCGAUACAGGUGAUUGGGGCUAAGUCGUAACAAGGGUUCCGUACAAAU